rnacentral:rRNA from 1 species
UGGUGGGUAGUUUGACUGGGGCGGUCUCCUCCUAAAGAGUAACGGAGGAGCACGAAGGUUGGCUAAUCCUGGUCGGACAUCAGGAGGUUAGUGCAAUGGCAUAAGCCAGCUUGACUGCGAGCGUGACGGCGCGAGCAGGUGCGAAAGCAGGUCAUAGUGAUCCGGUGGUUCUGAAUGGAAGGGCCAUCGCUCAACGGAUAAAAGGUACUCCGGGGAUAACAGGCUGAUACCGCCCAAGAGUUCAUAUCGACGGCGGUGUUUGGCACCUCGAUGUCGGCUCAUCACAUCCUGGGGCUGAAGUAGGUCCCAAGGGUAUGGCUGUUCGCCAUUUAAAGUGGUACGCGAGCUGGGUUUAGAACGUCGUGAGACAGUUCGGUCCCUAUCUGCCGUGGGCGCUGGAGAACUGAGGGGGGCUGCUCCUAGUACGAGAGGACCGGAGUGGACGCAUCACUGGUGUUCGGGUUGUCAUGCCAAUGGCACUGCCCGGUAGCUAAAUGCGGAAGAGAUAAGUGCUGAAAGCAUCUAAGCACGAAACUUGCCCCGAGAUGAGUUCUCCCUGAGACUUAGAGUCUCCUGAAGGAACGUUGAAGACGACGACGUUGAUAGGCCGGGUGUGUAAGCGCAGCGAUGCGUUGAGCUAAGCGGUACUAAUGAACCGUGAGGCUUAACCUU